GACGAGCUCUGGCGGCGUGCUUAACACAUGCAAGUCGAACGGUAAGGCUCCAGCUUGCUGGGGUACACGAGUGGCGAACGGGUGAGUAACACGUGGGUGACCUGCCCUGCACUUCGGGAUAAGCCUGGGAAACUGGGUCUAAUACCGGAUAGGACCGCACCGUGAGGGUGUGGUGGAAAGUUUUUUCGGUGUGGGAUGGGCCCGCGGCCUAUCAGCUUGUUGGUGGGGUAAUGGCCUACCAAGGCGGCGACGGGUAGCCGGCCUGAGAGGGUGGACGGCCACAUUGGGACUGAGACACGGCCCAGACUCCUACGGGAGGCAGCAGUGGGGAAUAUUGCACAAUGGGCGGAAGCCUGAUGCAGCGACGCCGCGUGGGGGAUGACGGCCUUCGGGUUGUAAACUCCUUUCACCAUCGACGAAGGGUUUCUGACGGUAGAUGGAGAAGAAGCACCGGCUAACUACGUGCCAGCAGCCGCGGUAAUACGUAGGGUGCGAGCGUUGUCCGGAAUUACUGGGCGUAAAGAGCUCGUAGGUGGUUUGUCGCGUCGUCUGUGAAAUUCCGGGGCUUAACUCCGGGCGUGCAGGCGAUACGGGCAUAACUUGAGUACUGUAGGGGAGACUGGAAUUCCUGGUGUAGCGGUGAAAUGCGCAGAUAUCAGGAGGAACACCGGUGGCGAAGGCGGGUCUCUGGGCAGUAACUGACGCUGAGGAGCGAAAGCAUGGGGAGCGAACAGGAUUAGAUACCCUGGUAGUCCAUGCCGUAAACGGUGGGCGCUAGGUGUGGGUUUCCUUCCACGGGAUCCGUGCCGUAGCUAACGCAUUAAGCGCCCCGCCUGGGGAGUACGGCCGCAAGGCUAAAACUCAAAGGAAUUGACGGGGGCCCGCACAAGCGGCGGAGCAUGUGGAUUAAUUCGAUGCAACGCGAAGAACCUUACCUGGGCUUGACAUAUACAGGAUCGCGCCAGAGAUGGUGUUUCCCUUGUGGCUUGUAUACAGGUGGUGCAUGGUUGUCGUCAGCUCGUGUCGUGAGAUGUUGGGUUAAGUCCCGCAACGAGCGCAACCCUUGUCUUAUGUUGCCAGCACGUUGUGGUGGGGACUCGUAAGAAACUGCCGGGGUUAACUCGGAGGAAGGUGGGGAUGACGUCAAAUCAUCAUGCCCCUUAUGCCCAGGGCUUCACACAUGCUACAAUGGUCGGUACAGUGGGUUGCCAGUCCGUGAGGGCGAGCUAAUCCCGCAAAGCCGGUCUCAGUUCGGAUCGGGGUCUGCAACUCGACCCCGUGAAGUCGGAGUCGCUAGUAAUCGCAGAUCAGCAACGCUGCGGUGAAUACGUUCCCGGGCCU
rnacentral:rRNA from 1 species